GACAGAGGAGCCAAGCGUUGUCCGGAUUGACUGGGCGUAAAGCGCACGCAGGCGGUUGUGCGCGUGGGGGGUGAAACCUGGCCGCUUAACCGCGAGCGGCCAUCCCAUACGGCGCGCCUUGAGCCUUGCAGAGGGCGGUGGAAUUGCCGGUGUAGUGGUGAAAUGCGUAGAGAUCGGGAGGAACACCCAGGGAGAAAGCAGCCGCCUGGGCAAGUGCUGACGCUGAGGUGCGAAAGCGUGGGGAGCGAACAGG
rnacentral:rRNA from 1 species